CUCAUCGGCGUCUGUCCUGUCGCCCAGCUGCAGGCCUCGGGCCUCCCUGGCAGCGCGGAGCUGACGGUGGGCGCGGCGGUCGCCUGCUUCCUGGCGCUGGAGGGCGCCGACGUGAGCUACACCAACCACCGCGGCCGGAGCCCGCUGGACCUGGCCGCCGAGGGCCGCGUGCUCAAGGCCCUUCAGGGCUGUGCCCAGCGCUUCCGAGUGCGCGCGCAGGAUGAAGAAGUGCAUCAGGUGCCAGGUGGUCGUCAGCAAGAAACUGCGCGCAGACGGCUCUGAGGUGGCGAGCGCCGCCCCCGCCCCCGGCCCGCCGCGCCAGCUGGUGGAGGAGCUGCAGAGCCGCUACCGGCAGAUGGAGGAGCGUAUCACCUGCCCCAUCUGCAUCGACAGCCACAUCCGCCUCGUGUUCCAGUGCGGCCACGGCGCAUGCGCCCCCUGCGGCUCCGCGCUCAGCGCCUGCCCCAUCUGCCGCCAGCCCAUCCGCGACCGCAUCCAGAUCUUCGUGUGAGCCGCGCCGUCCGCCACGCCCGAGCUGCCUUCGCGUGCCCCCGCCCUGUGUUUUAUAAAAAGAUUCUCG
rnacentral:sRNA from 1 species